rnacentral:rRNA from 1 species
GGUUAAGCGACUAAGCGUACACGGUGGAUGCCCUGGCAGUCAGAGGCGAUGAAGGGCGUGCUAAUCUGCGAUAAGCGCCGGUAAGGUGAUAUGAACCGUUAUAACCGGCGAUACCCGAAUGGGGAAACCCAGUGUGAUUCGUCACACUAUCAUUAACUGAAUCCAUAGGUUAAUGAGGCGAACCGGGGGAACUGAAACAUCUAAGUACCCCGAGGAAAAGAAAUCAACCGAGAUUCCCCAGUAGCGGCGAGCGAACGGGGAGGAGCCCAGAGCCUGAAUCAGCAUGUGUGUUAGUGGAAGCGUCUGGAAAGGCGCGCGAUACAGGGUGACAGCCCCGUACACAAAAGCGCAUGUGCUGUGAGCUCGAUGAGUAGGGCGGGACACGUGGUAUCCUGUCUGAAUAUGGGGGGACCAUCCUCCAAGGCUAAAUACUCCUGACUGACCGAUAGUGAACCAGUACCGUGAGGGAAAGGCGAAAAGAACCCCGGCGAGGGGAGUGAAAAAGAACCUGAAACCGUGUACGUACAAGCAGUGGGAGCACAGGUUUACCUGUGUGACUGCGUACCUUUUGUAUAAUGGGUCAGCGACUUAUAUUCUGUAGCAAGGUUAACCGAAUAGGGGAGCCGGAGGGAAACCGAGUCUUAACCGGGCGUUAAGUUGCAGGGUAUAGACCCGAAACCCGGUGAUCUAGCCAUGGGCAGGUUGAAGGUUGGGUAACACUAACUGGAGGACCGAACCGACUAAUGUUGAAAAUUAGCGGAUGACCUGUGGCUGGGGGUGAAAGGCCAAUCAACCGGGAGAUAGCUGGUUCUCCCGAAAGCUAUUUAGGUAGCGCCUCGUGAAUUCAUCUCCGGGGGUAGAGCACUGUUUCGGCUAGGGGGCCAUCCCGGCUUACCAACCCGAUGCAAACUGCGAAUACCGGAGAAUGUUAUCACGGGAGACACACGGCGGGUGCUAACGUCCGUCGUGAAGAGGGAAACAACCCAGACCGCCAGCUAAGGUCCCAAAGUCAUGGUUAAGUGGGAAACGAUGUGGGAAGGCCCAGACAGCCAGGAUGUUGGCUUAGAAGCAGCCAUCAUUUAAAGAAAGCGUAAUAGCUCACUGGUCGAGUCGGCCUGCGCGGAAGAUGUAACGGGGCUAAACCAUGCACCGAAGCUGCGGCAGCGAACGUAUCACUUAAAGCGAUUCAGCGGGUUACGAUUGACGGAGCGAAGCGACGUCAAAGCGUAUACAAAGUCGAGUCGGUUUAAGGAUACGUUCGUUGGGUAGGGGAGCGUUCUGUAAGCCUGCGAAGGUGGCCUGUGAGGGUUGCUGGAGGUAUCAGAAGUGCGAAUGCUGACAUAAGUAACGAUAAAGCGGGUGAAAAGCCCGCUCGCCGGAAGACCAAGGGUUCCUGUCCAACGUUAAUCGGGGCAGGGUGAGUCGACCCCUAAGGCGAGGCCGAAAGGCGUAGUCGAUGGGAAACGGGUUAAUAUUCCCGUACUUGGUGUUACUGCGAAGGGGGGACGGAGAAGGCUAUGUUGGCCGGGCGACGGUUGUCCCGGUUUAAGCGUGUAGGUGUGUGUUCCAGGUAAAUCCGGUUCACUUUAACACUGAGGCGUGAUGACGAGGCACUACGGUGCUGAAGUAACAAAUGCCCUGCUUCCAGGAAAAGCCUCUAAGCAUCAGGUAACAUCAAAUCGUACCCCAAACCGACACAGGUGGUCAGGUAGAGAAUACCAAGGCGCUUGAGAGAACUCGGGUGAAGGAACUAGGCAAAAUGGUGCCGUAACUUCGGGAGAAGGCACGCUGACACGUAGGUGAAGUGAUUUACUCACGGAGCUGAAGUCAGUCGAAGAUACCAGCUGGCUGCAACUGUUUAUUAAAAACACAGCACUGUGCAAACACGAAAGUGGACGUAUACGGUGUGACGCCUGCCCGGUGCCGGAAGGUUAAUUGAUGGGGUCAGCGCAAGCGAAGCUCCUGAUCGAAGCCCCGGUAAACGGCGGCCGUAACUAUAACGGUCCUAAGGUAGCGAAAUUCCUUGUCGGGUAAGUUCCGACCUGCACGAAUGGCGUAAUGAUGGCCAGGCUGUCUCCACCCGAGACUCAGUGAAAUUGAACUCGCUGUGAAGAUGCAGUGUACCCGCGGCAAGACGGAAAGACCCCGUGAACCUUUACUAUAGCUUGACACUGAACAUUGAGCCUUGAUGUGUAGGAUAGGUGGGAGGCUUUGAAGUGUGGACGCCAGUCUGCAUGGAGCCGACCUUGAAAUACCACCCUUUAAUGUUUGAUGUUCUAACGUGGACCCGUUACCCGGGUUGCGGACAGUGUCUGGUGGGUAGUUUGACUGGGGCGGUCUCCUCCUAAAGAGUAACGGAGGAGCACGAAGGUUGGCUAAUCCUGGUCGGACAUCAGGAGGUUAGUGCAAUGGCAUAAGCCAGCUUGACUGCGAGCGUGACGGCGCGAGCAGGUGCGAAAGCAGGUCAUAGUGAUCCGGUGGUUCUGAAUGGAAGGGCCAUCGCUCAACGGAUAAAAGGUACUCCGGGGAUAACAGGCUGAUACCGCCCAAGAGUUCAUAUCGACGGCGGUGUUUGGCACCUCGAUGUCGGCUCAUCACAUCCUGGGGCUGAAGCAGGUCCCAAGGGUAUGGCUGUUCGCCAUUUAAAGUGGUACGCGAGCUGGGUUUAGAACGUCGUGAGACAGUUCGGUCCCUAUCUGCCGUGGGCGCUGGAGAACUGAGGGGGGCUGCUCCUAGUACGAGAGGACCGGAGUGGACGCAUCACUGGUGUUCGGGUUGUCAUGCCAAUGGCACUGCCCGGUAGCUAAAUGCGGAAGAGAUAAGUGCUGAAAGCAUCUAAGCACGAAACUUGCCCCGAGAUGAGUUCUCCCUGAGACUUAGAGUCUCCUGAAGGAACGUUGAAGACGACGACGUUGAUAGGCCGGGUGUGUAAGCGCAGCGAUGCGUUGAGCUAACCGGUACUAAUGAACCGUGAGGCUUAACCUU